rnacentral:rRNA from 1 species
GAGGAAUAUUGGUCAAUGGACGGAAGUCUGAACCAGCCAAGUAGCGUGCAGGAUGACGGCCCUAUGGGUUGUAAACUGCUUUUGUAUGGGGAUAAAGUCAAUCACGUGUGAUUGUUUGCAGGUACCAUACGAAUAAGGACCGGCUAAUUCCGUGCCAGCAGCCGCGGUAAUACGGAAGGUCCGGGCGUUAUCCGGAUUUAUUGGGUUUAAAGGGAGCGUAGGCCGGAGAUUAAGUGUGUUGUGAAAUGUAGACGCUCGACGUCUGACUUGCAGCGCAUACUGGUUUCCUUGAGUACGCACAACGUUGGCGGAAUUCGUCGUGUAGCGGUGAAAUGCUUAGAUAUGACGAAGAACUCCGAUUGCGAAGGCAGCUGACGGGAGCGCAACCGACGCUUAAGCUCGAAGGUGCGGGUAUCGAACAGGAUUAGAUACCCUGGUAGUCCGCACAGUAAACGAUGGAUGCCCGCUGUUGGUACCUGGUAUCAGCGGCUAAGCGAAAGCAUUAAGCAUCCCACCUGGGGAGUACGCCGGCAACGGUG